rnacentral:rRNA from 1 species
CAGCCGCCGCGGGAAUACGGAGGGCGCGAGCGUUACCCGGAUUUACUGGGCGUAAAGGGCGAGUAGGCGGCCUGGGGCGUCCCAUGUGAAAGGCCACGGCUCAACCGUGGAGGAGCGUGGGAUACGCUCAGGCUAGAGGGUGGGAGAGGGUGGUGGAAUUCCCGGAGUAGCGGUGAAAUGCGCAGAUACCGGGAGGAACGCCGAUGGCGAAGGCAGCCACCUGGUCCACUUCCGACGCUGAGGCGCGAAAGCGUGGGGAGCAAACCGGAUUAGAUACCCGGGUAGUCCCUGUCUCUUAUAC